GGACUCUAGGGGAGGGAGGAGUGGGGAAUAUUGCAGAAUGGGCGCAAGCCUGAUGCAGCCAUGCCGCGUGUAUGAAGAAGGCCUUCGGGUUGUAAAGUACUUUCAGCGGGAGAAGGUGAUUGGUUAAUAG
rnacentral:rRNA from 1 species